rnacentral:tRNA from 2 species
GCCGACUUAGCUCAGUGGUAGAGCAUCCGCUUCACACGCGGGAGGUCAGAAGUUCAAAUCUUCUAGUCGGCACCA